GACGAACGCUGGCGGCGUGCUUAACACAUGCAAGUCGAACGGAAAGGCCCUGCUUUUGUGGGGUGCUCGAGUGGCGAACGGGUGAGUAACACGUGAGUAACCUGCCCUUGACUUUGGGAUAACUUCAGGAAACUGGGGCUAAUACCGGAUAGGAGCUCCUGCUGCAUGGUGGGGGUUGGAAAGUUUCGGCGGUUGGGGAUGGACUCGCGGCUUAUCAGCUUGUUGGUGGGGUAGUGGCUUACCACGGCUUUGACGGGUAGCCGGCCUGAGAGGGUGACCGGCCACAUUGGGACUGCGAUACGGCCCAGACUCCUACGGGAGGCAGCAGUGGGGAAUAUUGCACAAUGGGCGGAAGCCUGAUGCAGCAACGCCGCGUGCGGGAUGACGGCCUUCGGGUUGUAAACCGCUUUCGCCUGUGACGAAGCGUGAGUGACGGUAAUGGGUAAAGAAGCACCGGCUAACUACGUG
rnacentral:rRNA from 1 species